rnacentral:lncRNA from 1 species
AUUUCGUUCGCGUCCCUCACUCUCUCACAUACCUGGCAGCGCGGCCCCGACCACAUAGUCCCCAACCUCUCGCUCUAUCCGCGCGGGAUAGAGCACGGCGCUGCCGCCCGAAACCGUCGGCCGCACCUCGCGUAGAUAACGUCUAUCCGCAGCUCCGCAGACGCCCUAGAUCGCUCCUAUAUAAAGCCUGCGAGCCCCUCGUCCCAUUCUGCCACACCGCACCAUCUCUUGCUGCUCGUAGACGCCGCUGUUGCCAUUGGAUCUCGCCGGAGCCGGAGCUUUCCAUCGACGUUUCGAACGCCGGUGAACCUCCCUAGCCUCCUUUUUCCUACCGGAAUCGGAUCCCCUAGUCCCUCCGCUUCUUGCUGACAUCUUCUUUGCCCCUAGGACGCACCGGAGCAGCCACCCCGACGACCUGCGUCGUCGGAGUUCGCCGGAGGACACGAGCUCCGCCUGCUGCCUCCGCCCGUCGCCGCCGACCGACGUCACCACCGUUCGGCCGCCCUCGACGAGCCACACCCGCCCGACCACCUCGCCCGCACCGGAGCCCGCCGGAGCCGCCGCCCCUGCCGUCGCCGAGUUCCUGCCAACGAGUUCUUGUCUCAGCCUCCCUCUGUACGUUAGCAGUUUAGGUUAUUAUUAUUAUUAUUAUUUAGAACCAACCAUUAUGUUAGAUCUAGAUGGGUUUUCUUAGUCGAACCGGUACGUGGAUUAACCACGGUUUUAUUCUAAAACAAACGGUAGUUUCUUUUAGUUUAGCCGCAGCUUACGUUUUACUUAACUGGUGGCCAUUCACUACAUAGACUCAAGAGUGCACACAGUCAACCAAUCGGAGCCGACCAUAAUACGCUCUACUAGCGAACGGCCUCUUUGUAGCAUUUUCAGAAGAAAAAAAGUCAGUUGUAGCUUUUUAGUUCAGAUUUGUUUCAAAUUUUCAAACGCGCACAACGUUUUAACCGUAAGUCCAAAUGAGAUGAAACCAGCGGCUACUUUUUCGUAUCGAAUAGCUUUAUCCAGAGAACCCAACCUUGCAGACUUUUGCAAAUUCAAAUUUGAAUUUAUUUCAGAUUUGAAUUUAAACUUCAUUAGGCCACAUCUCUUGAACGGUAUGUUCGUUUGGAGUGAUUCCUGUUGCACCACGUCACACAAACUAAAUCCCAUGCCGAGGAUCAUUUCCAAGGUAUAUUUUUACAUAAUUAGUUGUUGUUACCAUCAUAUUACUAGUAUGCCCUAUAGGCACAUUAGUGCACAUCACGGAUUUUGAGCCAUGUUCUCACUCUUGGUUUUAUACUUUGAAAAAACUUUCAUGCAAACGUCUUGUGUUGGAUUUUAUUUGGUUUUUAUGAAUAUAUUUUUUUCUGCAUGUUACUUUGAAUUGUAUGAAUGUUAUGUUUAUGUGUAUUAUUUUACUUUUACGCUAGAUUGUCCGGAGUGCGAAGCCGAAUAUUAUCAUUUGCUAGAACUUCAGUCCGAGUGCCAAGGCAAGUUACAUUUUGAUCAUAACUAUCUUACCUAUGUUUUGUUAUGCAUGUAGUCCUUUGCUAUAGGAUUGCAUGAUAGGAAUUUAUUUUCUUUGGCUAUGCUUGCACCUAGUAGUUCAUUUGAGGUAGGUCUGAACCAUAUCAACCUUGUCGCCAUCGAGUUAAGUUAUAGUUGCUUCGCCAAAGUAGACGUGGAUUGGGAAGUGAUAUCACAUUGAGACAUGAGGGACAAAGUAGUAAUUAGGACCAAGACUUAAAUGAACUACCUGGGUGGAAAGUUGGUUUGAAUGGUGGCGAAGUACAGUGGGAGCAUUCAUGGGAAUCCACGGGAGUGCACACUAGUGGUUCGUCCACCCAGGCUCAAAGGGAUCAACCAUGUUUUUGUUGGAAAUAUGCCCUAGAGGCAAUAGUAAAUUAGUUAUUAUUAUAUUUCUUUGUUCAUGAUAAUCGUUUAUUAUCCAUGCUAUAAUUGUAUUGAUUGGAAACACAAAGCAUGUGUGGAUACAUAGACAAAACACUGUCCCUAGUAAGCCUCUAGUUGACUAGCUCGUUGAUCAAAGAUGGUCAAAGUUUCCUGACCAUAGGCAACUGUUGUCACUUGAUAACGGGAUCACAUCAUUAGGAGAAUCAUGUGAUGGACUAGACCCAAACUAAUAGACGUAGCAUGUUGAUCGUGUCAUUUUGUUGCUACUGUUUUUUGCGUGUCAAGUAUUUGUUCCUAUGACCAUGAGAUCAUAUAACUCACUUACACCGGAGGAAUGCUUUGUGUGUNNNNNNNNNNGGUUUCCUGACCAUAGGCAACUGUUGUCACUUGAUAACGGGAUCACAUCGUUAGGAGAAUCAUGUGAUGGACUAGACCCAAGCUAAUAGAUGAAGCAUGUUGAUCGUGUCAUUUUGUUGCUACUGUUUUCUACGUGUCAAGUAUUUGUUCCUAUCACCAUGAGAUCAUAUAACUCACUUACACCGGAGGAAUGCUUUGUGUGUAUCAAACGUCGCAACGUAACUGGGUGACUAUAAAGAUGCUCUACAGGUAUCUCCAAAGGUGUUCGUUGAGUUAGUAUGGAUCGAGACUGGGAUUUGUCACUCCGUGUGACGGAGAGGUAUCUCAGGGCCCACUCGGUAACACAANNNNNNNNNNCCGGGUAUCUCCGAAGGUGUUCGUUGAGUUAGUAUGGAUCGAGACUGGGAUUUAUCACUCCGUGUGACGGAGAGGUAUCUCAGGGCCCACUCGGUAACACAACAUCACACACAAGCCUUGCAAGCAAUGUGACUUAGUGUAAGUUGCGGGAUCUUGUAUUACGGAACGAGUAAAGAGACUUGCCGGUAAACGAGAUUGAAAUAGGUAUGCGGAUACCGACGAUCGAAUCUCGGGCAAUUAACAUACCGAAGGACAAAGGGAAUGACAUACGGGAUUAUAUGAAUCCGCAGGGUCUGCACACUUAAGGUUCGACGUUGUUCUAUGCGUAUUUGAGUUAUAUGGUUGGUUACCGAAUGUUGUUCGGAGUCCCGGAUGAGAACACGGUCGUCACGAGGGUUUCCGGAAUGGUCCGGAAACAAAGAUUGAUAUAUAGGAUGACCUCAUUUGGUUACCGGAAGGUUUUCGUGCANNNNNNNNNNNNNNNNNNNNNNNNNNNNNNNNNNNNNNNNNNNNNNNNNNNNNNNNNNNNNNNNNNNNNNNNNNNNNNNNNNNNNNNNNNNNNNNNNNNNNNNNNNNNNNNNNNNNNNNNNNNNNNNNNNNNNNNNNNNNNNNNGACCAUCAGGAGGGGUGUCACGCCCAAGGGGUCUCAUGGGCUAUGGGAAGAGAUAAACCAGCCCCUAGUGGGCUGGAAUAAGUUCGCACUAAGGCCCAUAAGGUUUGAGAAGGAAAAAACACAAGGUGGAAAGAGUUUCCAAGUGGGAAGGUGGAAUCCUACUCCAAGUAGGAUUGGAGUAGGACUCCUCCACCUCCAAUUUCGGCCAAAACUUUAGGUUUUGAUGCUGCCUCCUCCCCUCCCUCCCUCCUAUAUAUAGUGGGGUUUUAGGGCUGAUUUGAGACAACUUUUGCCACGGCAGCCCGACCACAUACCUCCACGGUUUUUCCUCUAGAUUGCGUUUUUGCGGAGCUCGGGCGGAGCCCUGCUGAGAUUAGAUCACCACCAACCUCCGGAGCGCCGUCACGCUGCCGGAGAACUCCUCUACCUCUCCAUCUCUCUUGCUGGAUCAAGAAGGCCGAGAUCAUCGUCGAGUUGUACGUGUGCUGAACGCGGAGGUGUCGUCCGUUCAGCACUAGAUCGGAGCGGGUCGUGGGACGGAUCGCGGGACGGUUCGUGGGACGGUUCGCGGAGUGGAUCGAGGGACGUGAGGACGUUCCACUACAUCAACCGCGUUCACUNNNNNNNNNNUUUGUACGUGUGCUGAACGCGGAGGUGUCGUCCGUUCGGCACUAGAUCGGAGCGGAUCGUGGGACGGAUCGCGGGACGGUUCGUGGGACGGUUCGCGGGGUGGAUCGAGGGACGUGAGGACGUUCCACUACAUCAACCGCGUUCACUAACGCUUCUGCUGUGCGAUCUACAAGGGUACGUAGAUCGGACAUCCCCUCUCGUAGAUGGACAUCACCAUGAUAGGUCUUCGUGCGCGUAGGAAAUUUUUUGUUUCCCAUGCGACGUUCCCCAAGAGUUUUCACGUCUAUAAGGUUCCGUGUGCAGCCACAAGCCAAUAUGGGCUCUGGCUUAAUUGAGUAGAUGGUGUGACCUCGUCCGGGAUAGGCUAGCAGAUGUAGAUGAUGUAGGUGUACCGGCCUAUCCGUGGGUAAGAGGGAAUGCUCUCGAAAGACUAUGUCUCGAUCUUCCGAUCAAGGAGGUGGUCGAGUCUUGUGGGGAAAAGUGAAAAUGCCGGGGGAUCUCCUCAUAUUUAAUUAAUCAACUGGGUAAUUGAGACAACUUUGGGUAUGGAUUGAGUUGGGGUUUCCAUCUCAGUGUGAUGAUUUUAUUUUUGUAGAAGUAGAAUGUUUACUUGGUUAAGGAAAAUCGGCUUUACGCAAAACUCAACUUAGAGCUUUCCACCAGCCAAAUUGCAUGUACAAAUAGGAUCCUUACUCUCUUAUGAUGUGACUUGCUAGUACAUUCCAUGUACUAACCUAUACGGCUGCAACCUAUCAUGUUGCAGAUUUGUCUGACGAGGAUUAAGGUGCGAUAGGUCGUUGUUCUACACUCAGCUUGCUCGUGGAGUUGAUGGACUCGUUGCACUUAAUUGCUUCCGCAUUAUUUGUUUUAUCUGGCCUUAGGGCACAUUAUUGUAAUAAAUACUCUUUGAGGAUCUCGAUGUAAUAAAGUGUGUGAUUGGACUCUGUUAUAUAUCCUCGAGUACUGUGUGUGUCAA